rnacentral:rRNA from 1 species
GACGUAGGAGGCGAGCGUUAUCCGGAUUCACUGGGCGUAAAGCGCAUGUAGGCGGUUCGAUAAGUCCGCUGUUAAAGCCCCCGGCUCAACUGGGGGAGGUCAGUGGAGACUAUAGGACUUGAGGGCAACAGAGGCACGUGGAACUCCCGGUGUAGCGGUGGAAUGCGUAGAGAUCGGGAAGAACACCAGUGGCGAAGGCGACGUGCUGGGUUGCGACUGACGCUGAGAUGCGAAAGCGUGGAGAGCAAACAGG